GGGGAAUCUUCCGCAAUGGACGAAAGUCUGACGGAGCAACGCCGCGUGAGUGAUGACGGCCUUCGGGUUGUAAAGCUCUGUUAAUCGGGACGAAUGGUCCUUGUGCGAAUAGUGCGAGGAUUUGACGGUACCGGAAUAGAAAGCCACGGCUAACUACGUGCCAGCAGCCGCGGUAAUACGUAGGUGGCAAGCGUUGUCCGGAAUUAUUGGGCGUAAAGCGCGCGCAGGCGGAUCAGUCAGUCUGUCUUAAAAGUUCGGGGCUUAACCUCGUGAUGGGAUGGAAACUGCUGAUCUAGAGUAUCGGAGAGGAAAGUGGAAUUCCUAGUGUAGCGGUGAAAUGCGUAGAUAUUAGGAAGAACACCAGUGGCGAAGGCGACUUUCUGGACGAAAACUGACGCUGAGGCGCGAAAGCCAGGGGAGCGAACGGGAUUAGAUACCCCGGUAGUCCUGGCCGUAAACGAUGGGUACUAGGUGUAGGAGGUAUCGACCCCUUCUGUGCCGGAGUUAACGCAAUAAGUACCCCGCCUGGGGAGUACGACCGCAAGGUUG
rnacentral:rRNA from 1 species